rnacentral:rRNA from 1 species
GGAUAAUACCCCAUAGAUCAGGGACGCUGGAAUGCCCCCUGGUUGAAAGGUCCGCCGCCUUAGGAUGGGUCUGCGGCCGAUUGGGUUGUUGUUGGGGUAACGGCCCAACAAGCCAUUGAUCGGUACGGGUUGUGGGAGCAAGAGCCCGGAGAUGGAUUCUGAGACACGAAUCCAGGCCCUACGGGGCGCAGCAGGCGCGAAAACUUUACAAUGCGGGAAACCGUGAUAAGGGAACCCCGAGUGCCCGUAAAUUCGGGCUGUUCAUCAGUGUAAAUAACUGGUAGAGAAAGGGCCGGGCAAGACCGGUGCCAGCCGCCGCGGUAAUACCGGCGGCUCGAGUGGUGGCCACUAUUACUGGGCUUAAAGCGUCCGUAGCUGGAUUGUUAAGUCUCUUGGGAAAUCUACCGGCUUAACCGAUAGGCGUUCAGGAGAUACUGGCAAUCUAGGGACCGGGAGAGGUGAGAGGUACUCCAGGGGUAGGAGUGAAAUCCUGUAAUCCUUGGGGGACCACCUGUGGCGAAGGCGUCUCACUAGAACGGCUCCGACAGUGAGGGACGAAAGCUGGGGGAGCAAACCGGAUUAGAUACCCGGGUAGUCCCAGCUGUAAACGAUGCGCGUUAGGUGUAUCGGUGACCACGAGUCACCGAGGUGCCGAAGAGAAAUCGUGAAACGUGCCGCCUGGGAAGUACGGUCGCAAGGCUGAAACUUAAAGGAAUUGGCGGGGG